rnacentral:rRNA from 1 species
AUAUGCCUACGGGGGGCAGCAGUGGGGAAUAUUGGGCAAUGGGCGCAAGCCUGACCCAGCAACGCCGCGUGAAGGAAGAAGGCUUUCGGGUUGUAAACUUCUUUUCUCAGGGACGAAGAAAGUGACGGUACCUGAGGAAUAAGCCACGGCUAACUACGUGCCAGCAGCCGCGGUAAUACGUAGGUGGCAAGCGUUAUCCGGAUUUACUGGGUGUAAAGGUCGUGUAGGCGGGAGUGCAAGUCAGAUGUGAAAACCCCGGGCUCAACCUGUGGCCUGCCUUUGAAACUGUACUUCUUGAUUACUGG